rnacentral:rRNA from 1 species
UGGGGAAUUUUGGACAAUGGGCGAAAGCCUGAUCCAGCAAUGCCGCGUGUGUGAAGAAGGCCUUCGGGUUGUAAAGCACUUUUGUCCGGAAAGAAAUCCUUGGCUCUAAUACAGUCGGGGGAUGACGGUACCGGAAGAAUAAGCACCGGCUAACUACGUGCCAGCAGCCGCGGUAAUACGUAGGGUGCAAGCGUUAAUCGGAAUUACUGAGCGUAAAGCGUGCGCAGGCGGUUUGCUAAGACCGAUGUGAAAUCCCCGGGCUCAACCUGGGAACUGCAUUGGUGACUGGCAGGCUAGAGUAUGGCAGAGGGGGGUAGAAUUCCACGUGUAGCAGUGAAAUGCGUAGAGAUGUGGAGGAAUACCGAUGGCGAAGGCAGCCCCCUGGGCCAAUACUGACGCUCAUGCACGAAAGCGUGGGGAGCAAACAGGAUUAGAUACCCUGGUAGUCCACGCCCUAAACGAUGUCAACUAGUUGUUGGGGGAUUCAUUUCCUUAGUAACGUAGCUAACGCGUGAAGUUGGCCGCCUGGGGAGUACGGUCGCAAGAUUAAAAACUUAAAGGAAUUGACGGGGUCAUAGCUGUUUCCU